UGGAAUCGCUAGUAAUCGCAGAUCAGAAUGCUGCGGUGAAUACGUUCCCGGGUCUUGUACACACCGCCCGUCACACCAUGGGAGGUCGGAAAUGCCCGAAGUCGGUGACCCAACCGUUUACGGAGGGAGCUGCCGAAGGCAGGUCUGGUGACUGGGGUGAAGUCGUAACAAGGUAGC
rnacentral:rRNA from 1 species